rnacentral:lncRNA from 1 species
UCCAACAUGGGUUCUGCUUCUGCCACUAGUUCAAUGCAACCUGCAGCAGAAAGCCCUCAAAGUUCAGACACUUCAACAUCACAAAUUGCAUUCUCUUGUAUUAAACUAAUCCUAGUCUUAAUAUUUUCCAUUUUCUAAAUCUGACAGAUUGUUGUUCAAUGUGCAUCUCUAUUCCAGAAAUUUUAAUGCAUCCUAGUAGUGUUCUGUCUGGAUGUCUUGACACUUUUUUUCUGAUCGGUACAUUUUUGGUAUUUAGAGGAAAAGCUUCAUUACAGAGACACUAUAUUUCCCUUUUUUUGAAGGAUAGGAAAUAAAUAAUGGCAAGAAAUAAAUCAUCUUUAAGUGCUUUUGGUUUAUAUAGGAUUAUAUCAUGCAUGGUAACAUCAACUACAAUAACAUGAUUAGCUGGGACUCCGAAAACAGCUUUUCCAAACCUGGAGCAGUAUCAACCCAAAUUAGCAGUCCAGCCUGCAGCAGCUGCCCAUGCAAUUGCUGAAGAUCAAUGGGUGGUUUGCCAACCCAAUUAAACUGCAAUGAACAGCUCCAUGUUAGACACAAAUUUCUUAUAAUAUAAUAGAAAUAGAAAUAUUACUAGCUUGUGAAACAUACAUACCUAUGUUCUAUGGGCAGCUCAUCUUGUAGGAGAA